rnacentral:rRNA from 1 species
UAAUUAUUUAUUGAAACUUAAAUAAUUNGGCGGUAUUUUAGUUCAUUUAGAGGAAUCUGUUUAUUAAUUGAUAAUCCACGAAUGAAUUUACUUAAUUUAAAAUUUUGUAUAUCGUUGUUAAAAAAAUAUUUUUAAAUGAAAAUAAUAUUUUAAUUUUAUAAUUAAAAAUUAAAUCAGAUCAAGAUGCAGAUUAUAAUUAAGAAUAUAAUGGAUUACAAUAAAUUUAUUUAAAUGGAUUUUUUUUUGUAAUAAAAAUUUGAAAGUGGAUUUAAAUGUAAUUUUAUUUAUUUUAAUAAAAUGAUUAUAUAUUAAAAUAUGUACAUAUUGCCCGUCGCUUUCAUAAAUAAAUUGGAAUAAGUCGUAACAAAGUAGAGGUACUGGAAAGUGUUUCUAGAAAUAA